UCCAGUGCCUGGGAGCCCACUGGGAGCCCAACUCCAGUCCUCAUGCUAUCUAGACCCAGGGAAACCACUCUGUCUGGGGACCUCAGGCAACACCACAUAGUCCUGAUGGGGAAAAAAAACGCUGGGAGCAGCUUCCAGGAUGCAGGUCAUUUCAUCCAGAACGCACCACGCUGAGAAAGGACAAUUCCUUGCAACCUACUUCGCAGAGGAGUCUGAAGCCGCAUCAGGCAAAACUAAGUCAGAAACAGAGCUUCAAGACCAGGAGAAUGAUUCAGGCUUCUUGACCUGACUGGCUUAAGCAAAGCCUGAGAAACGCUGCUGAAAGGCUGCCGUUCUGCACUAGUGCGACCCGGCUCCCGUUCCCACUCCACCGUCCCUAUCACUGGCCAGCACACAUGAAUUCACAGAACCAGCCAAUAGGCUGGAGUCCCUCCAAUUAUUAAGAUCAUCUUCUUCUCUUAAAGAAUGGGCUUUUCCAGUG